rnacentral:rRNA from 1 species
CCACGGGGGGCGCAAGCGUUAUUCGGAAUUAUUGGGCGUAAAGGGCGCGUAGGCGGUCUUGUCGGUCAGAUGUGAAAGCCCAGGGCUCAACCCUGGACGUGCAUUUGAAACAGCAAGACUUGAGUACGGGAGAGGAAAGCGGAAUUCCUGGUGUAGAGGUGAAAUUCGUAGAUAUCAGGAGGAACACCGAUGGCGAAGGCAGCUUUCUGGACCGAUACUGACGCUGAGGCGCGAAGGCGUGGGUAGCGAACGGGAUUAGAAACCCCUGUAGUCC